GAUGAACGCGAGCGGCAGGCCUAAUACAUGCAAGUCGAACGAGAUCAAGGACUUCGGUUCUUGGUUUAGUGGCGCACGGGUGCGUAACGCGUAUGCAACCUACCUUCCACAGGGGGAUAGCCUUCCGAAAGGGAGAUUAAUACCGCAUAACAUCUUUGGGUGGCAUCACCUGAUGAUCAAAGCUUUGGCGGUGGAAGAUGGGCAUGCGUGCCAUUAGCUAGUUGGUAGUGUAACGGACUACCAAGGCUUCGAUGGCUAGGGGUUGUGAGAGGAUGGUCCGCCGCACUAGUACUGAGACACGGACCAGACUCCUACGGGAGGCAGCAGUAGGGAAUAUUGGGCAAUGGCCGAGAGGCUGACCCAGCCAUGCCGCGUGCAGGAAGAAGGCCUUCUGGGUUGUAAACUGCUUUUACCAGGGAAGAAAACGCUCCUGCGGGAGUAACUGACGGUACCUGGUGAAUAAGCACCGGCUAACUCCGUGCCAGCCGCCGCGGUAACAC
rnacentral:rRNA from 1 species